GACGAACGCUGGCGGCGUGCUUAACACAUGCAAGUCGAACGAGAGGACAAGAGAAGCUUGCUUCUUUUGGAAUCGAGUGGCAAACGGGUGAGUAACACGUAAACAACCUGCCUUCAGGAUGGGGACAACAGACGGAAACGACUGCUAAUACCGAAUACGCUUGGGAGACCGCAUGAUCUUCCAAGGAAAGGGUGGCCUCUACUUGUAAGCUAUCGCCUGAAGAGGGGUUUGCGUCUGAUUAGGCAGUUGGUGAGGUAACGGCCCACCAAACCUACGAUCAGUAGCCGGUCUGAGAGGAUGAACGGCCACACUGGAACUGAGACACGGUCCAGACUCCUACGGGAGGCAGCAGUGGGGAAUCUUCCGCAAUGGGCGAAAGCCUGACGGAGCAACGCCGCGUGAGUGAUGACGGCCU
rnacentral:rRNA from 1 species